rnacentral:rRNA from 1 species
GUAGGUGGCAAGCGUUGUCCGGAAUUAUUGGGCGUAAAGCGCGCGCAGGCGGUUCUUUAAGUCUGAUGUGAAAGCCCACGGGCUCAACCGUGGAGGGUCAUUGGAAACUGGAGAACUUGAGUACAGAAGAGGAAAGCGAAAUUCCACGUGUAGCGGUGAAAUGCGUAGAGAUGUGGAGGAACACCAGUGGCGAAGGCGGCUUUCUGGUCUGUAACUGACGCUGAGGCGCGAAAGCGUGGGGAGCAAACAGGAUUAGAUACCCUGGUAGUCCACGCCGUAAACGAUGAGUGCUAAGUGUUAGGGGGUUUCCGCCCCUUAGUGCUGCAGCUAACGCAUUAAGCACUCCGCCUGGGGAGUACGGCCGCAAGGCUG